rnacentral:lncRNA from 1 species
UUCUGCCAAGUAAUAUGAAUGUAUUAACUGGUUAAAGAAAAUGGUUACUGACUUUCUCCAAUCUGAACAUUUUCCAGAUGAGAAACGCAAAGGUUUUGGAUACCAUACUCCCCUGCUCUAAGAUACACUUUUCAUUUUCACAUCUGAAGAUCCCCGUCACCAGGAUUCAUCUCACAACUGAUGGCGCCCUCCCUCAGCUGUCAGCGCGAACUUUCACGGAAGCUAUUAGCAAGAACCAGCAUGAUGGGGGAGAAGCACCGCUGUAUUCGUCACUACAAAACUCCAGAACAAAUUCACUGAAAGCUUUUAUUAGGGGAUUUGACUUUCUCCCAAGGAAGAUCGUUGCCUUCUGUUGCCUUCUGCUCUGUCCCUAGAGCCCAGAUCUCACAGUUUCUAGUCCAGAGUCCAGACAGAGUUGGCAGAGAAAAGUGACUCGAGUUCCUUGAAAACAAACCACACAUCCCUUCAUCUCUGCACCCCCUCCAGAGCCUUGCAGUCUUCACUGUCAUCACAUUCAAGCACAUGCUGCAUAAAGGAAGGAAGCGGGAAUGGAAUGGACAGGUAGCAUGCUGUGAAUAUAAAGACACUCAGUGGAUUCCUGGCCACUUGGACAGUGGAAGGGGAUUUUCUCAGAGCCACCAAAACCAAUAUUCUAGGCUCACCUAACAUAAUGUAACUGAGAAUUCUUGGUUCUAAUUUGAGGCACCUGAUACAUAAAGGAAGGCGCAUAGGAUGGAGGCCCCAGAGACCGUAUUUAUUACUCAAUGGGGCAGGAAAUUGGGAGAAGGCUCUGGUGUCCAGGAGAAGAGUUCAGGCCAGUGGAUUAAGCCCCAUCAUGAGCCAGGAACUGAGCUAGUCCUGGCUGAAAAUGCAACCACAGCACACACUUCUGCUCUCAAGGGGCUUAGGGUUCGGCGGGGGAGAGACUUACAUAAUACACAUGUGAGACAGUCACAAGUGCGAGAAGCCAUGUCUGCUCAUUUGUGCUUGUCAAGAUAAUUUCACACAGUCCCUGAAUCUGUGAGGCCAUGCAGCUCUUUGGGAAGAUGCUUUGAAGACAAAACAGGAUGGACCACAUGGCUCCCACACCACUUGCCUGAGUCACUAUGCUCCUUAAAAGAUGAAUGACCCUAGCCUUGACUUUUCCUACACAGAAGAUAACGUUUGACAGGGUUAGUGACUAUGCCUCUGUAAUUCAUUACUAAAUGCAUUUUAGUCAUCUAUAACCAGAUAUACUCUGGCACCCAGACUUUGACGUGAUUUUGCACGUACUGAACCUUCACCACCCGUCCAUAAACUGUGAGCUGAAACACCACAUUGGAGCCUCUGAUGGAACUGCUCCCGGGCUGUAGACCUCCAUCUACAGUCUUCGGUAAGGCUUCUGAAUAAAACUAACUUUAAUUCUUUAAAAGUUUGAUUUGUUAUUCUUUAGUUAACACAUAACAACCCAAAGAUUCAUUGCAAAACAUAGGCUGGAAGGGUGAGGACUGGGGCCUUCGCUUUUUUUUUUAACUGAAAUGAUCUGAGGAGACAAUUAUGGUGUUAGUAGCUGAAUGCUUAAGGAUUCUGGGACAUUAAGAAGAGGUGGUGGAAUUCUAAUUGGAGUGAGAAGCAAUAUAAAUAACAGAAUGUGAAUGUCACAUUAGGAGAAGACAGAAGGAGAAGGAAAAAUAAUAGCAGUCUCCUCUAGUACAGAGUAAAGGAUCAGAAAGAGUGUAAAGAAGGGUAAUCUGAGGUCAGACUGCAGACAGCCUCUGAUGCCAGGUGAAGGGGCUUCGAUGUAUACAUGAACAAUGGAGUGAUAGGAUGGGAAUCAGCCUCAGCGUGCAAAAUGAAGCAGAGGGAGAAGGAUGGGUGUCGGGAGAUGGUUAUGAAGCCAUUGCAAUAACCCAAUGUGAGUCGACCGAAGCAAGAAUAAAGUUCGUGCCAUGGGGUUGAGAGGAAAUGAGGAGGUAAGAGACCUAGAGAGCCUGGGCGUGAUGGGUCACACCUGUAAU